AAAGGAUUAGUUAAAAAAUAACAUAAAUAUGUCAAAUUUAAAUUAUUAUAAUUUUAUAAUAUUCUUUU
rnacentral:tRNA from 1 species